GACGAACGCUGGCGGCGUGCCUAAUACAUGCAAGUCGAACGAGAGCGCCCGGUGCUUGCACUGGUCAAUCUAGUGGUGAACGGGUGAGUAACACGUGGGUAACCUGCCCAUCAGAGGGGGAUAACAUCCGGAAACGGAUGCUAAAACCGCAUAGGUCUUCGAACCGCAUGGUUUGAAGAGGAAAAGAGGCGCAAGCUUCUGCUGAUGGAUGGACCCGCGGUGCAUUAGCUAGUUGGUGAGGUAACGGCUCACCAAGGCCGUGAUGCAUAGCCGACCUGAGAGGGUGAUCGGCCACAUUGGGACUGAGACACGGCCCAAACUCCUACGGGAGGCAGCAGUAGGGAAUCUUCCGCAAUGGACGCAAGUCUGACGGAGCAACGCCGCGUGAGUGAAGAAGGUUUUCGGAUCGUAAAACUCUGUUGUUAGAGAAGAACAAGUGCUAGAGUAACUGUUAGCGCCUUGACGGUAUCUAACCAGAAAGCCACGGCUAACUACGUG
rnacentral:rRNA from 1 species